GGCCCCUUAGCUCAGUUGGUUAGUAGCGUCCGACUCAUAAUCGGCAGGUCUCCAGUUCAAGUCUGGAAGGGGCCACCA
rnacentral:tRNA from 1 species